GACUCAUGUUAUUUAGAAGUGUGUUGUUUAACCUGCAAGCAUUUUGGAAUUAUCCAGCUAUCCUUCUGCUGUUGAUUUUGUUUAAUUCCAUUGUAGCCUAAGGACAGUUAUUAUAUGAUUGUAUUCUUUUUAAAUUGUUAAGGUUUCACAGUUCAGAAUGUGUUCUACGUUCUAUGUUCUAUCUGAGCUAGGGAAGAAUGUGUAUUCUGUUGUUGGAUGAAGUAGUCUACAGAUGUCAGUUAUAUCCAUUCUACCAGUAUUUGCAUUGAGAAUUUGGUCACUCUGUUAUUAGGCACAUAAGAAUCCUCAGCUGCAUUUUGCAUUAUUUCCAGAGUUCUUGGUUGUAAUCAGUGGAGAGACAGGCUGUGGAAGACUUACCCCAUUUCGAUCAACACCAGGUGAAAAGGGCUGAGUUCAGAGCACUUCUCGACAGAUGAACAUAUGGAGGUUGACAGGAAGGGAACAAAAACUCAUCCAUGUACCAACAGUGGAGGACUCCACCUCCACAGGGACAAAAUCUCCUGUGCUCAGGACCCUUCCAAGUCUUGCCCUAUGUAUCUCUUUAUCUGUUUGUAUCCUUUGAAAUAAACCAGUAAACCAAA
rnacentral:lncRNA from 1 species